AACGGCAGCACGGGGGCAAUCCUGGUGGCGAGUGGCGAACGGGUGAGUAAUACAUCGGAACGUGCCCUGUAGUGGGGGAUAACUAGUCGAAAGACUAGCUAAUACCGCAUACGACCUGAGGGUGAAAGUGGGGGACCGCAAGGCCUCAUGCUAUAGGAGCGGCCGAUGUCUGAUUAGCUAGUUGGUGGGGUAAAGGCCUACCAAGGCGACGAUCAGUAGCUGGUCUGAGAGGACGAUCAGCCACACUGGGACUGAGACACGGCCCAGACUCCUACGGGAGGCAGCAGUGGGGAAUUUUGGACAAUGGGGGCAACCCUGAUCCAGCAAUGCCGCGUGUGUGAAGAAGGCCUUCGGGUUGUAAAGCACUUUUGUCCGGGAAGAAAUCGCACCUGAUAAUACCGGGUGUGGAUGACGGUACCGGAAGAAUAAGGACCGGCUAACUACGUGCCAGCAGCCGCGGUAAUACGUAGGGUCCAAGCGUUAAUCGGAAUUACUGGGCGUAAAGCGUGCGCAGGCGGUUGUGCAAGACCGAUGUGAAAUCCCCGGGCUUAACCUGGGAAUUGCAUUGGUGACUGCACGGCUAGAGUGUGUCAGAGGGGGGUAGAAUUCCACGUGUAGCAGUGAAAUGCGUAGAGAUGUGGAGGAAUACCGAUGGCGAAGGCAGCCCCCUGGGAUAACACUGACGCUCAUGCACGAAAGC
rnacentral:rRNA from 1 species